UCCUGGUUCUCCACGUGCUGCCAGCAGCGCUGGAGCUGCCCGAGCCAGAGCGGAGCCGCUGUUCUCAGCUGCAGCCAGGAUCUGCCCCCGGCCCCGCUGGGAUCCAGACAGGCUGCAGAAUGUUUUGCUCCAGCUCAUCCCAGCCUGGCGUGGGACAGGGAAGAGAAAUGGCUGCAGUGGAGUCAGUCCAGGGGCUGGUGACCUUCAAGGAGAUGGCUAUGUAUUUCACCAGGGAAGAGUGGGCUCUG